GAAACAGCACCUGAUCCUAUUCAGGCAACUCUUCUCCCUCCUUUUAAUUCCAGUACUUUGAUGAGUGGGUUCAUCCCAACCCUGGUCUCAGCGGAGGGCACUGACCCAGGCCUGACGAAUCAAUCAUUCCAUGCCUCUUGGCUACCGUGAUUGGCACAGUACUCAGAGAUGGCACGUGUUCCAAGCCAGACCAGUGAGAGGCAACCACAGGAUGUUUGUGGGAACUCUGGUCCACAGAAUCUCUCUCAAGGGGGUUGGCACCUGGGAGGGUGGGAUGCCAUCUGGAACUGCUGGUGGUCAUUUACCAUGAUGGUGAGAGCUGACUGGUGGUGGCCAACUCUUGAUGAGUAUGUUUGAGCACCUGGAUCCGGCCAUGGCUGAAUCCACCUCGAAACUCCCACUUACAAGAAUCAACAAAUGGCCUUUCUUGGGUCCAUGUGUUGGAGUAGAUUACUGGUCACUUGCAGCUGAAAGCAUGCUGGUGCUAAGGAAUGUGAAUACUCUAAACAAAGUCCCCUGCCCCUUGGUUCCUGCUCACCCUACAGGGAUUUUUGGGGAGCUGAAUAUCCAGUCCAAAGUCAGAGGAAGGACAUAUGCUCAAGGGGCACUCAGUUUCCAAGUCUCAGGGAGCCAGCACCUGAGUCUCAGUCUUGCUUUCAGACAAGAUGUCGUCCUGAGAAUCUUUCUCCCUCAUCAGUGCAGUUGCCGACCUUUGAGCCUGACUCGUCAGGGUCCAUUCUCUCUACACAUUUAUCCAACCAUCACAUGUUUGCUGAGCAUCUACUUUCUUUCAGGCACGGGCUGGGCACAGAACUUGCAGGGAUGAUGAUGUUUCCAGGUCAGCCCGGAAAAGCCAGUGCAGCCAGUCAGACGUUUCUAGAAUGGUAGACUGCCAGGUAUGGAAACAUUCUUUAUACUUAUUCACUUAAAAGUUUUGUUUACUUAAACAGUUGCAAGAAUAUUUAAAUCUACUGCACAUUUAAAAACCCAGAUAGGUAGCCAGAUUGUACUACGCUAGUCAUGAAAGGCAACUGACAAAAAAGAAGAAACACGUGCAAUAAAUCUUUUCAUUGGUUUUGGGGGCUGGUGUUAUUGGGAGAGACAGAGGGACAUUUCCACAGGGGUUCCGAUGGCAGUGCUAUCUGUUUAAGGCUUUGCAUGUUGAUGACACAAGUUCCUUUGAGGACAAGUUUCUUUCGAGAUGUUGAUAUGUCUCGGUGGGUGCCUGGAACCUUCCUCUCCUGGCAGCCUCUUGCUGAUUGUGCCACACCAGAUGCCCCGAGUUAAAUGAUGGGCUAUGUCGAGACCAAAUAGCGAAGCCCAGUGCAGAUCCAUCAACUCCACGUUUAGCACAACACUUAGUAGGAGAAAUUCAACUUUAAGCCUGAAAUGCAGGUCACAAAGUUGGUCAAGAGGACGAGAAGCAAAGCGGGCAAGCGGAAUUGAGGGCAGGGUCUCCCGAGGGGAGUCUGUGCAGUGCUGGCCUUUCCACGCUUUGCAACAGAAGGGCUCUGUUCCGGAAGCACCUUCUGUGCGGCCGCUCCUCGGCAAUUUGCAUGGGACACUAGCGGGUUGAAAGUUCUGAAACGUCCUGUGUGGAAGAAACAAACCUGUGCGCUCUGCUUCAGGCAGUGUUUCCCCAACCACUGAACUUUGUGGGUUUUUUUUUUUUUUUUUGAGUAGCAGCUAUUUGUAUCCACAUUCUAGAAACGCUUGCUUAAAUGUUACAUUGUCUCAUGUUCCUGGAUACACUUAGCCCUUCCACAGGAGGGACAAGGGCCGUGUGCGCAUGUUCACCAGCAUGUAUGUGGUCAGGCUGGUCCACUCACGGGAGCAACGAUGGGAGGGACAAGAAAUUCGGCAUGGUCCGGAUUGCCUUCUUGGGAGUGGUGCUGCUCAGGCUGUUUCAGAGUUCCCGCUGGCCUUCCUGCGCUCCGCUUGCCUCACCCCUGCGUACCUGCCGUAGCCAGCAUGUGUGCGCGGUGCAGGUGGAGAGAGAGAAGACGAAGUCCGAGAGGCCCCCAGGCUCUCUCAGACAUGGGGAGACAGACACACAGCAAGAAGUUUGAGGACAAUGUGACACGUGAAAUAAAGGCGUGUUGUGAGUAGUUUGGGGAUCACGAGAAGGAGGCCCCUCUCUUUGAAAGAACUGAGGCUAGUUUUGUCUGAAAGGGGAUAGAUGAAUUGUGUCUUAAAGGUUGAAUAGGAGGUUAUCAGGCAGAGACAAGAGUUGGGUUGGGGACACAUUCCGGGGGCAAUGAUCAGGGACAUGUUUUGGGGGCAUAAGAUUCUGAUUCCAACUCCAACAUGCUUUCAACACCAAGCAAGUCCCCCACACCAGCAGGGGGUCCUACAAUUCAACUCAGUUCUGACACUGUCCACUUGGAGAGAGCGUCAGAUUCCAGAGGUUAAGGGUUCAGUCCCACAAGAUCGCCCUUCUCUGCAGUCGCCAACCGCAAGUCCGGGUUGUCACCUGUGCUUCUGAGCCACCGGCUAUAAAUCAGUGGUUCCUGCAACCCCCCUUUGAGUUUGAUUAAUUUGCUAGAGCGGCUCACAGAACUCCAAGAAACAAUUUACUUACCAGACGAGAGCCAGCUGGAAAAGCUGCCCGGGGCAAGGUGGGGAAGGGGCGGAGCUCCCACGCCCUCUCCAGCCUCGCCACUCUCCUGGGAUCUCCACGUGCUCACCAGCUGGAAGCUCUCUGAACCCCUCAGUUUUUGGGUUUUUACGGAGGCUUCCUUACUUAGCCGUGGCUGAUUAAAUCAUUGGCCACUGGUGAUGGGUUCAGCCCCCAGCCCUUCUCCCCUCCCCACAAGUCUGGGGGUGGGACAGAAAGUGCCAACCCUCCAAUCACAUGGCUGGUUCCCCUGGCAGCCAGCCCCCUCCAUGGUGCUUUCCAAAAGUCACGGCAUAAAUGUAAACUCAGGUGUGGGUGAAAGGGCUUUGUCGUGAAUAUCAAGACAGCUUUAUAGCUCUUAUCACUUGGGAAACCCCAAGGGUUUUAGGAGCUCUGUGCCAGAGACAGGACGAAGACUAAAUACAUGUUUCUUUUUACAAAUCACAGUAUCACAGGGAGUCUGAUCUGAAGGGCUUCCAUCCUGGGCUGACGGACACGGAAAGUGAGUGCUGACAGUCUGCUCUGCGCUUUCCCAGAGAGAGUCCCCAGGAGCAAUAUGUAAUCAUCUAAUUAAAACAUCAAUUCUCAGCUGGAGAGAAGGAUGGAAAGAGGACAGGGGGAUGAUAAAGCAAGCACAGUCACGUGUCCACACAGACUCUCGGGGCGCACACAGGUGGUCACUGGAGAAAGCCUUUCAGCUUUGCCGUGUGUUUGAAAAUCCUUAUAGAUAAAUAUUUGGGAGAAUAAACUCUUAAUUUGAAUUUAUUAUUUCCUUCUUUCUUUUGCAAUGCCCAGUUUUUCCUAAGCCUCUCUUUGAUUAUUCAAGUUGCCAGCACCCGGGCAAUUACUUCCUGCAAACAAGUUGUCAGAAGGCGCAAAUAAAUUUUAGACCUAAUUUAAUUCUCAGUUUACUUGCUCAUGAAAAAAAAAAUCUUAAUUUCUCCAAACCACAUCAACCCUUGAUAUGCCAGUUAUGAUUUCUUUUCAAAAGCCGGCUGUGAAAUGCUAAGCCAAUCACUCAGAGACGGUCUGACUGAAUGAAUGACGGCUGGGGAAAGAAGGCCAUGUUCAGAGCAUCCGGGAUGAACGGUGGGUCCCAAGCACAGAUCAAGGGGAGCCAGAGAGGGUGUGUGGGGAUAAAGGGAGAGCAGUGACGGUCAGAAGCCAGCUACUCCAGAAAGGAAGGAGAAAGUGGGCCCUGGUUAUGGUGGGGUUGAGAUAUGGGGUGCCCGGGAAAUGUGGCCAAGGACCCUGACACUCUAACCGCUUUCUGAAAUGUGAAGAUCUCUAAGGAAACCAGCAGGCGGGAGUUGGAUCAAUGCAUUCCUGUGCUGUAGGUGGGCAAUACCUGGAAACAUUACCAAUGCCUCCAAGACUCCCACCAGCAUCGUGUGUGGGGGGACCCACCAGAAGGGAGGCUCCCAGCUCACAUCCCUCACUGCUCCCUGAGAACCACCCACCAGCCUGAUUGGGCCAGGGGCAGACACCUGUCAUGCUGGGCCAGUUCGAGCCUCUCUCUGUACCUAACAUCUGGAUUGGCUGGAGAAACUGAGGCACAGUGUCGUGAGUUGAACUGUGUGCCCCUAGAAGUUACAAAUACACCCCGGUAUUUGUGAAUGUGACCAUACUGGGAAAUAGGGUCUUUGCGGAUAUAAUGAGUUAAGAUCAGGUCAUAGUGGACCAGGGUGGGCCCUAACUCAGUGACUGGUGUCCUUAUAAGAAGAGGUUAAUUUGGACACAGACACACGGAGAGGAGACUAUCGUGUCACGAGGCACAGACACACAGAGGGAGGAAGGCCCCUGAGGCAGGACUGGAGCGAUGUGCCUACAAGCCAAGGAGCCCCCAGGACCGCUGGCACCACCAGAAGCUGGAGGAGGCGAGGAAGUCUCCUCCCCUAGAGCCUUCAGAGGGAGCGUGGCCCUGCAGCGUUCUUAAUCUUCGAUGUUUAGCCUCUAGGAUUGUGGGAGAAGACACUUCUGUGUUGUUGAGACACCAGUCUGCAGGGCUUGGUUACGCAGCCCAAGGACAGGAAUUCACAGAGUGACAGUGGAAGCGCAGAGGGUAGGUCUGCAGGCCCUGUUGCUGCUCGGAAGCCCCACGUGCCCUUGGUCUGCUCCUCCCUGGCCUUGGGGUGUGAGACCUGGGAUCCUUUUUGUUUAAGCUUCUGUUUCUUGAGCCUAAACAACCAACAGGUGGUCUCAGAGCAGAAGGCUGUGCCCAUCCAUUCACUCCUCUCUUCCUUCCUUCCUUCUGCUGCAUCCUGGAGAGUCAGGACCCAGCUCAGCCUCAAGUCUGACUGACAGUAUUAACAUCACUGAUAAAGAACAGAGAAGUCCUCAAGAGGAGGUGGGUCAGCCAUGGAGGCUCCAGGCACAGGGCUAGAGAUUUGAUGCUAGCAUUGUGCUUCUUGUCUUUCAUGGGGGCAAUGGAUGCCUGGCCCACACAAACAAGUGUGUGGUCCACACCGUGGGUUGGUCCCUGCGGGUGGGGGUCCUGCAUUGGCUCAGUUUGUGGGCACGCUCUCCAAGCUGCCUUCUGAACAGGCUUUAGCUGCCUGGGCAGACUGGCUGGCAGAGAGAACUCCUUCAUAGUUCUCUUUCUCAUUGAAAAUUAAUAUGCUGCCAUUUUGGACCACAUCUUGGAACUCAGUGACUUCACCAAGGUUGGGCCAGCCUGGGGUGACCUGUUCAGGUCCAGUGGUAGGUGGGCAGACGUCAUUCAACUUUCAAUGACGGUGUCAAGGACCCAGGCUCCUUCUGUCUUUGUGUCUUUCCAGUCCACUGUUUCAGCCGCACGCUUGCCACCUCAAGGUCAAAGGAGGGCUCUCCAGCACUGUCCGAGUGCAAGCAAGACACAGGGAGAAGAGCAAGUGCUGGUGGCGUCUGUCCCUUUUACUAGGAAAGCAAAAGCUGUCCUCAGAGCCACUGGGCAGAUUUUCAGUGACUUCUCAUCAAUGAGCAUUGUGGCAAACGGCUACAUCCAGGAAGUGGAUGUGCGAGGAAAGCUGGAAAAGAGCACAUCUAGCAUUUCUGCCUCUACACUGGAGAUGCCUUAGUUCCUACCGCAGCCAUGACAAAUUCCCAUAAACCAGAGGGGCUUGAAACAGCAGCAGUGUAUUCUCUCACAGCUCUGGAGCCUGGAAGCCCCAAACCGAGUUGUCAGUGGGGUGGGUUCCUUUUUAGAGGCUCUGAGGGAGAAUUUCCUCCUUGCCUCUCUCCCAGCUUCUGGUGGUUGCCAGCAAUCCUUGGCUCCUAGACACACCCCUCCCAUCUCUGCCUCUGUCGUCACAUGGCCUUCUCCCCGUGCCUCUUCUUCAAAGGACUCCAGGCACUGGGUUAGGUCCCAGCAUAAUCCAUCUAGACCUCAUCUUUGCUUGAUCACAUCUGCAAAGACCCUAUUUCCAAAGAAGGUCACAUUCACAGGUGCUGGGGGUUAGGACUUCAACACAUCUUCUGCGGGGACACAACUCACCCUAUGACACAGGUGGACAGGGAGAGAGGGUUUGGGGAGGGGUGUUGGGUUGGUCCCCAGGUGUGAUGCUUGGAGAUAUUGUGUCAAGAUGAGGGAGAAAGCAAGAGAAGCAGGGAGCGGCCAGCCUGGAGUGCACGGGACAGAGUGGAGCCGAUACAGGAAGCGUGCCCAGAACCACCUGCCCCUGGACUGCUCAUUUUACGAGGUCACUAAGUAGCCUUACUGCUUAAGCUGUUUUUAGCCACUGCUUGCAGCUGAAGGUAUUCUAAUUCUUUUUAUGAUUGAAAUAAAAUGUUUGAUCAUAAGUACUUGAACUCAGUGCCUCGAUUUUGGGCUUAAAUGCUUUUCUUUCUACCAAUCAGAGGAAAAAAAAGCUCCUGCCUUAAUUAUUUCCUUCAGGAAGGAUGAAUUAAAAAAUAAAUGACUAACUUGUUCUUUUUCAAAACAGCAAACACAAUUUCUUUUUAAGUACAGGAAACUAUGUUUAAAACCCUCCAAAAGUUCUUUUAAAAUGUAAUUUUAGGGGUUGGCCCUGUGGCACAGAGGUUAAGUGUGCACAUUCCACUUCGGCAGCCUGGGGUUCGCAGGUUUGGAUCCCGGGUGUGGACAUGGCACCACUUGGCAAGCCAUGCUGUGGCAGGCGUCCCACAUAGAAAGUAGAGGAAGAUGGGCACGGAUGUUAGCUCAGGGCCAGUCUUCCUCAGCAAAAAGAGGAGGAUUGGCAGUAGAUGUUAGCUCAGGGCUAAUCUUCCUCCAAAAAAAAAAAAAAGAAUAAAAUGUAGUUUUACAGAUAUCUUUCUUGUUACUGACACAAGUUAAAUUAUAUUUCGAUACAUUUAUGUGUUACAGAAUUAUCACCUCACAGCUUAACCCUGCUGUGGGAAUAGAAAAAAACUGUGCCCAGAUUAAAAGAACACACUUUCCUGAAAAUAAAGAUAAAUGAACUAAUAAAUGACUAGUUUUUAAUAAAUAAUCUCCUUAUUGGAUAACUUAUCUUUCUGGUAAAAUAUUUACCGUGCUCUCUAACGCCUUUUAAAUCAACUGAAACACUGAGAAAGCUUUAAAUGAUUCGAUAUCCUUUUGCGGCUUAAGAGUUGAAAUGGUGUUUUAUUGAAGUACAUUUUAAUAAGAAGCAAAUUGAUUUGAAGUGAUUCAAGUUUCGCGCAGUGAGGGCUCUUCAGGCUGGGCUCCUUGGGCUGGAGGGUGAACCACCAUUUCACGGGGCCGCAAAGGUCACGCUCUGCCCCGUGCUAGGAUGUUCUGGGUAACUAGGAACCAAUUGCUUUUAAGCUACCUUAGGACUGGCCCAGGCCUGAGUGACUCAGCAUGACAACAUCUCCUGUGCUGCCUCAUUUCUCUGUGCAGUGUUUUCCUGGGUAGGAAAUAACAGACAAAAAUAAUCAACUGGGGAAUUAAUUGAAAACACGGAUCCACAGCCCCUGCCUCAUAUUUACUGGAUCAGGAUCCAUGAAGGAGGAUCUGGAAAUCUGCAUGUCAAUCAAUGUCCCGGGGGCUUCUGAUGUUUAGAGUCAUCUGACCCACAAAGCUAUUGGACAACCAGAGUUGACACCCAAGGCCCUGGUUCUCACAGGUGAGCGAGGGCAGAACCCCCUGGUGGUAAAACCCAGGCUGCCCCACCCACCCAAGCACCUCUGGUUGGGUGGAGCUGGGAGGGGCUGGGAACCUGCGUUUCUAACAAGUUCCCAGGUGCUGCUGGUGCUAUUGGCCCAGAGGGGUGGGAGUGGGGCCACAUUUUAAGAACCAUUGCCAUUAAGCCAUUAUCUCCUAGCCAAAAAAAAAUUUUCCUUGAUAUAAGUUUUGUUUUAAAUCCAAGGCAGAAAAAUUACCCAUUCUCAGACCAAAAUAUGGAAAACAAAUCUGAGUAGAAUGAAUAUCGUUAGAGCUUUAGUGAUUCUGGCCGAAUGCCAUUGCAAACCUUUCCCAACAAAGACCAAAUACAGGGUCAUCGAAAGAAGGUAUGAAAUCCCAGAGAACAGUUGUCAGUUCCCAACGAAGAAAACGCUUAACAUCUCGACGGCGUUACAUCCAGCAGAAAGCAGACAAAUUACCACACCAAUUUAGUUUCAAAGAAUCCUCACCCAGUCUAUUAUAUUACUUCAUACCAAAGAGAUUCCUCAAGUUCUGAAUUGGCCGGAUAGUGACUUGUUAAGGCAUUGCUAACGAAUCUUGUCCAUCAUGGUUCUCGAAUAUGGAUUAGCUUGGACGAACCCAAGACAUUUCUGGCAGAGCUCAUGGUGAGGAGAAAACGUUCUCAGUAAGUGACUCCAGAAAUCCCGGCCCACCUGCGCCAGAGGGGUCCUGCAGGGUCUGCUUUUCAUUACGGGGAAGGCGAAGUUGGGUCGCAGAUCACCGUUAAACCUUGUUCGGGUUUGAGGAAAUGAGCUUGACCCACUAAAAGACUCGUACCAUAUUUCCUUUAAUGAUGCUGGCAAAGUGUCUGUUUCAUCUAAUCAACCUCUCAGACGAAGGAUCUGAUAGAGGGUCUGGCCACAGUGACGAGGGCUCAGACCCCAGCAGUGACCUGCGGUAACGACAAACCUUUUUAAAAUUCUGGUAGCAAGACAGCGUGAUUUUGACAGCUGUUUUCAAAAGUUUCUUUCCCUUUAAGAUUCUUAAUUAUGGGCCCGAUGAACACAGGUUGUAACUGAGGAACAUCUGAGCCUGGCUCACAUUAGCCUGUCUGCCUAUCCAGGGGAAAGGCUGAUUUCUUUUUAAGACGUGGUUUGCAGCCUCUCCAGCUUUGCACUCUGUGUACCCAGCCAGUUCCAGACUUCUGCUCCAUGAAGAAUUUGGGCCCGUCCUUGGCUGCAAUAGGAUUUUGGAGCAGAAUCAGUCAAGUGGUCUUAUAUUUCCAGGAGAAUGCAUCAUUAAAAGAAACAACCAUAUUAUUUAAAUUUCCAGAAAUGACUCUUCUGAUGAUAAUCCAUAGCCCACCAAAAUUAACUGGGUUUUCUUCUGCAUAACAGGCCUUUAGUUUUAACGUAUUUAAUAUUUAAAGUUUCUUUCUGGAAACGCUCACUGAGUUUUGAUGGCAACUUCGACAGGCCUGUAAAAGGUAAGAGGUAAUAAAACAUAGCAGUGGCUUAAGAAUGGAGUUUUUGAAGGCUGCUUAGAGGGCGAAGAAUUCCAGCUGGAGAACUUUCUGAUAAUGUCAACAACCUUCGAGUGUGUGGGGAAGUUAAUGAGACGAUGCAGGUGAUAGCACCUCGCCGGGCCCAGGCAAUCAGAAACGUCACGGACAUCUGAAGUUGAAUCUGGUUAACAAGACGUCACCUGUCAGGGCAUCAGAAACGUUUUCAUUCUAACAGUGGUGGCACCAUCCAGUCGUUGAAGCAAAAAUGACACAGGAGUUGAACUGAAAGCCAGAUAUCGUGUGCGGGUCUCGACUGCCCAAGUCGGGGGCCUCAGCUGGGCUGACGGAAGGUUGGCAGAAUCCUAAUUUCCUUGGCGGAUUCCGUCAUCUGAUGAGCAGCAGUAGACAGACCUUCUCAAACGCACUUCCCACUGGACUGCACGAGCGGGUGUGAAACAAACCCCGCCGUCCGGGUCCCCCUGCAGGGAUUUUGAUGCAGUGGCUCAGGGUGCUGCCUGAUCACGAGGGCUUUCAGACGUUCCCCAGACAUUAGGCUCCUAGGCGUGGGUUGAACCACGAAUGGGUUAAGCUGGGGUUUCUCCACCUCCUCCGCGCUAUUGGUAUUCGGGGCCAGGUAAUUCUUUGUUGGGGGGGGGGGUGUCCUGUGCAUUGUAGGAUGUUGAGCAGCAUCCCUGGUCUCGACCCACCAGAUGCCAUUAGCACCCCCACCCCACAGGUUGUGACGUCCAGAAGAUGAGGCUCACAGGGCUCAGCCUAUCUCGAGGGGCCUGUGGCCUUGCUGGGAAUUGUUCGGGGCUGGGGCGUUUAGGCACAGGGAGCGGAAGAGGAACACCUUCAGGAAACGUUUUCCUCAUGCUUAAAACAGAUGAAAGGAAAGGAGAAAGCUGUCCUUUCUGUGGGACACACCAAGAUGAACACGGCUGGAUCCUUGAUGGUUGUGCGGGUGUGGAGUUCACACUCCCAGCCGCCUCCCUUUGGACUCCCUGCUGUGGGAAACCGCACGGCCCCCUCUUGCUGAAGAUGGGGCUGUGCUUUCCAUCCCUGGCAGCUAAAUGCUUCUGAACUGCUCUAUCCUGGAUUCAGGCUGUUUUUAAUUACGAGGAAACAGUACUUGUCCCUCUUUGGAAGGCGGACAUUUUGCCACUGACCGAUAUGAAUGAUUGGUCAACAUAUGUCCACAAAGUAGGAGAUUAUAAAUACACAGCCAAGAUCAUCACCACGGAGCAGGGUAGCAUCUUUGUGACGCGCACGGAGUUUGCGUAAGUGGUACAUAAACAUGCUGUGGCCUUGCUCAAGGAGAGAGCAACAGAAUAUUACAUCUCACCAGCGGGGGCUAGGGGCCCACGGAAGCAGAUGGUCGGAAUCCAUCAGCUAUGAAUCGAAUCCUGGGCGGGUGUCUGAGGAACCUCCAGGCAGCUCUCGGUGAAAGCCUCGACGUGUGAGGGCAAAGCAUCAGGGUGGAUUCGUGCCUGACAGAGUCAACCUGACUUAGAGAAGCAAACUCCUCUCCUAUUUCCAAAGGGGUCUGUGGGGGCGACACAUCCAGUCACAAGCCCUCUGGUUUGUUUGGGGCCGUGACCCACGUCCCCUCACCACCACCUUCAUUCAUUGAAAGGAAUUUUAAACAGGCUGCGACUGAAAGCAGACUUAUCAGUAACAGGAGACUGUGAUUCGGGUGACGGCUGCAUGGGCACCUUUGUAAGACUUCUGCACUCAUCCUUUUUUUUUUUUGAAAAAAAAAAGUGAGCUGACAAGAAGGUAGGCAAAUAGGUCACUGCCGGAGGGGCUGGAGUCCCCCAAGGUGAGUCUCAAGGGAUCAUUUUUGUGAGAGACACGAUGGGGGUGUGAGCAGGGAAGCGAACAGGAAAACGAGUGGCUGGAAUUGCCUGUGGUUCUGUCGGGGCAAACAUCUGAGAAACUGAACUGGAUUUGUUUCCACAGUCGUUCUCAAAUAACUUACCCAGGGAAAAAAGAGAAAGACUAGUCCAGGAGCACAUUUUCUACCAGCCCUGCCCGAAAGAUUUUAAUUCUGAAUAAAAUCCACAUCAACAAUGUUUAUUUAAUUUAGGUCAUGUUUAAUUAAAAACGCAAAAUCAGCCUUUUGAAACUAAAUUUCUAGAUCCACCGAGGUCGAGGGUUGAUGAUUCCCAGAGGGCCUGGACAGGAGGAUUCAGAAAUCUGAGCUCUCAGAAAGGCGGGACGGAGUGUGAGCGCUGCAGUGGGACAACUGGGGGCAGACGCCCAGGCUUGGCUUCCAGCUGUGUGACCUCCGGUGACUAUCGCCCACCCUUGGGUUCCUUCUGUUCACACUGGGAUGGAUCAGAUAAAAACCUAACUCAGGGCUGUCGUGAGGAUAAGUCAAUAUACACAAAACGCUUAGCCCAGCACAGUGGUUUCCAAUAAACGCUUUCACAGGUGCUGGCCAUGACUGUUAACUGCGGCCAGUUAAUCUUCAGGGUUAGCUCAGACAACACAUUGUGCAAAUGCCUCUAUUUUAAACUAAUUAAAAACACAUAAACUACCGAAUACAAAAAAAGAGGAACAUAAUUAUCUCUAUAGGAAACCUUCAACGUACAGACUGUCCAAACUGUUGAUUUCAAGUUGAUUGUUUGGAGGACUCUGUUCCCAUGGCAACAGUACUCCAAGUGCUCUCAGCAGUCCAACAACUCACAAAGGCACCUUCACCUUUAGGUACCGGAAAUACCGUGUGCUGGUUCUGAUAAGGUCAACCGUGGUAGUCCUUGACUAGAAAUGAAACCACAGAAAAACAAAAUUGCUAAGCAAAUAAGAUUAAAAUCCUUUCAAGUCCUGCGGCCCAAAGGAAAGGAGAAUGGACUAGAGGCCGAACGAGGAAGCUGCCGGGCCUCUGGGCUUGGGGCUGCGCUUGGCACAAGCGCCUCCACACAGGUUGUAUUGACAGGCCUCAGAAGGAUCUUUAUUGGUCUUUAGAUGAAUGAAAAAUAGCUGGAGACUAAAAGAGGCAGACAGGUUUUCCUGCUCAAAAAGAUGAGGCCUGGAAGUGGAGAGAGGCAAGGCGGCCCCGUGCAAACACAGGCCGUGGGCAGGUCUUCGAGGAGCGGGUCUCAGGGAGCAGAGGCUCCAGGACAAGGAGGGCGAGUGCGACCCAGGGCAGCAUGGGGGGCAGUAGCUUCUCUUUGGUGGGCCCAGGUGGUGCCCAAAAGGCUGAGACUGGCCCGAGGCUGUGGCAGUGGGAGGCCCCCACGGAACCCAGCGAGCGUCCACGCUGCUCACCCACAAACCGAGGGCCUCACCAGGGUCCUAAAGCCCGUUUCACACGAGGCCCUGCCUGCAGGUUUGAAGGAGGGGUCAAGUGGGUCCGUGGCAACAAGGGCCUUAAUAAAUUGAACGCAAAGCUGUUUAUUGGAUUCCUUUACCGGUAUCUCCCCGUGGGUAUUUUACACCACACUAGUUCAAUGAAAUGUUAAUUAGGUCCUAAGUAUAAAAAAAGAUUCUUGGUCAAAUAACUAGGAAACUGGCAGGUGAGAAAGUUAAAUCACAUUUCCCCACUCCGGGACCUGGCCCUUUAAUAUGCUAAUUUGCAUCGUGAAUUUCCAUGAAGUCAGUCUAGUGCUCAGCAACUUUUCUAAACCCAAGUGACCACCAACCCUCCUUUCUCGAGCUUCUGCAGGGACAAGUGUUCUGGGGAACAUUCUUGGCGGUUUGCUCCCGGACACGGACACGUAAGACAGCAGCUCUCCUUCGCUCUGGGUCAGGGCAAACCCCGCAGUCACCGGCGCCUGUCACCGGCCCCUCUUCUCCAAACAGGCCUCCACACACGCCUCC
rnacentral:lncRNA from 1 species